rnacentral:rRNA from 1 species
ACCCGUUGAUCCUGCGGGAGGUUGCUGCUAUUUGGAUUCCACUCAGCCAUGCAAGUCGAGCGCUCCUUCGGGGGAGAUCGGCGAAAUGCUCAGUAACACGUUGAUAAUCUGCCCUUAGGUCUAGGAUAGCCUCGGGAAACUGAGGGUAAUACUGGAUAGGAGAUAAAUGCUGGAAUGCAUCUUCUCUUAAAGGUAACGCCUAAGGAUGAGUCAGCGGCUGAUUAGGCUGUUGGUGGGGUAAUGGCCCACCAAACCUAUGAUCAGUAGGAGCCUUGAAAGAGGUAGCUCCGAGAAGGGCACUGAGAAAAGGGCCCUAGCCCUACGGGGUGCAGCAGGCGGGAAACCUUUACAAUGCACGCAAGUGUGAUAAGGGAAUCCAGAGUGCCUAUACUUAGUAUAGGCUUUUUGUCAGAGUAAAUAUCUGGCAGAAUAAGUGAUGGGUAAGACCGGUGCCAGCCGCCGCGGUAAUACCGGCGUCACGAGUGGCAACCACAUUUAUUGGGCCUAAAGCGUUCGUAGCUGGUUUGACCAGUUCUUUGUGAAAUCGUAAAGCUUAACUUUACGGCGUGCGAAGAAUACUAUCAAACUUGGGACUGGGAGGGGUAGAAGGUAUUUCUAGGCUAGCGGUAAAAUGCUAUAACCCUAGAAGGACCACCGAUGGCGAAGGCAUUCUACCAGAACAGGUCCGACAGUGAGGAACGAAAGCCAGGGGAGCAAACGGGAUUAGAUACCCCAGUAGUCCUGGCCGUAAACGCUGCGUACUAGGCGUUGCCUGUUCUCGAGAAUAGGCAGUGUCGAAGCGAAGGUGUUAAGUACGCCGCCUGGGAAGUACGGUCGCAAGGCUGAAACUUAAAGGAAUUGGUGGGGGAGCACCACAACAAGUGCUUCGUGCGGUUUAAUUCGAUUCCACGGCGAAUCUUACUAGGAGCAACGGCAGGAUGAAGGUCAAGUUGAAGACUUUACCUGACGAGCCGAAAGGUAUUGCAUGGCCGUCAUCAGCUCGUGCUGUGAGGUGUCCUCUUAAGUGAGGCAACGAGCAAGACCCAUACCCACAAUUGCUAACGAUAUCUCAGGAUAGAUCGAGCACUUUGUGGGGACUGCCCGGGGAACUGGGAGGAAGGUGUGGGCAAUGAUAGGUCAGUAUGGUCCUAAUCUCCUAGGCCACACGCGCGAUGCAAUGGUAGGGACAAUGGGAUACAACUCCGAAAGGAGAAGUUAAACCUCGAAACCCUAUCUUAGUCCAAAUCGAGGGUUGCAACCCACCCUCGUGACGCCGGAAUUUGUAGUAAUCGGACGUUAUCAGCGUCCGGUGAAUAAGUCCCUGCUCCUUGCACACACCGCCCGUCAAGCCACUCGAGCAGGCUUUGGAUGAGCCUUAAUUUCUUGAUUAAGUCGAAUCCAAGGUCAGUAAGAUGGGCUAAGUCGUCACAAGGUA